CAGAAGCAAGUGUUGCAGGGCAAUCACAAGAAAGUAAAGCUAUUCGGAAUUAUUUAUACAUUACUUAUGCGUUUGGAUAUUUCUUGCCACUACUGGAAAUUUAUAGCACAUGUGACGUGAAAGAUAUCGACACAAGAAACACAAGAAAUCAAGCGCUGAAGAGGUACAAGUGCGGGAAGAUGAAGACAAUUAUAGUAUUAUAGAAAUCGCAGUACUCGCGGCCGCGGUAAUCGUGGCCAUAUAAAUUAAGUAACAUAUAAUCUCCAGUUGUAAACUGUAAGUAUAGCGUAAUAAUAAUCCCAGUCAGAAAUCGACGUCGAUCAACCGCAGAUCGACUAGUAUAAUCGACGUCGAAUCGACGUCGAUUCGACAAGGUAUUUCUGACUGGGAAUAUUAUCAUUGAUAUGAUUCAUA